AAUUUAAUAUCUUGUUAAUUUAAGAGUAAUGUUUAUUAUAUUAGUGAAAAAUAAUUUAGGAUGUAAAAAAGUAGUUUUUAACAAAAUGUAUAUGUAACUAUAGUUUAAAGUACUGUAAAGGAAAGAAAAUAGAAAUAAAUAAUAAAGAAAAAGUUAAAUUUUGUACCUUGUGUAUAAGGGAAAAUCUAUAUGAUUAAAAUAAUAUUUUUAAAUCUCGAAAGAAAAAUAGUUAAUUUUACUAAUAGAGUUUUUGUAGGAUAAAGAUUUUUAAUAUAAAAUUAAAGAUGAAAUGUUAAACGAGUUUUAUAAUAUCUAGUUUUUUAAAAAGAAAAUUAAAUUUGGUUUAUAUAUAGGAAAAAAAUAUAAAUAUAAAAUAGAAAGGGUAAGCUUUUUAUUGAUAAACGAAACAGCAAAAUUAAAUGAGUUUAUAAAAAUGAUUUAAGCUUAAAAGUAGCUAAGUUUUUAAAGUGUUUUAACUAAAUAAUAUAAAGUGUAGUUGUAGCUUUUCUUAAAUAUUAAAAAUUUAUUAAAACUGGGAAAUAAUAAGAUAAAAUGAUUUUAUUAGUAGAAAAUUAAUUAUAAGAACAAAUAAAAGGAUGGAUUAGGAAAAAAUUCUUAAAAUAUUAAGGUAUAUUAAAGGAAUUCGGUAAAUUAUUUUCUUGCCUGUUUAUCAAAAACAUGUCUAUUUGAAGUUAUAAAAAGUCUAACCUGCCCGCUGAUUAAAAUAUAGAGAUUUAAGGGCCGCGGUAUUAUGACCGUGCAAAGGUAGCAUAAUCAUUAGGUUUUUAAAUGAAAUCUUGUAUGAAUGGUUGGACAAAGGGAAAACUGUCUUUAAAAUAAAUUAUUAAAUUUUACUUUUAAGUGAAAAGGCUUAAAUAUUUUAGGGGGACGAUAAGACCCUAUAAAACUUUACAUUAUGAUUAUAUUAGAUUAAAUUUGAAUAAUAAAAAUUUAGUAUAAUUAUUUGUUUUGUUGGGGAGACAUGAGCAAAGAUUAUAUUAACUGCUUAAAAGUUAAACAUUUAUUGGUGUAUAAAAAGUUUAUAGAUCCUGUAUAUGUAGAUUAAAAGAUUAAGUUACUUUAGGGAUAACAGUGUAAUUUUUUUUGAGAGUUCAUAUCGAAAAAAAAGUUUGCAACCUCGAUGUUGAAUUAAAAUAUCUUUAUAAUGUAGUUGUUAUAUUAGAGGGUCUGUUCGACC
rnacentral:rRNA from 1 species